CAAAGAAUAGUUCAACUUAGAAUAUCUAGCUUUGGGAGUUAGGGGUGGAAGUUAGAAUCUUUCUUCUCUGA
rnacentral:tRNA from 1 species